GGGUGGAUCCCAAAUGUUCUAAAGCUCUAAUUUAAAAAGAAUUCUUAAAGGGCUAACUAGUUGUGUUAUUUUAUAAAGAAAGAGCUGAAAUUUUUUUUAGGAGCGUCUCAGCAAGUUCAUUAAUUGCUAGCUUUCUAUAAGGGUGACACUUAGCAAGCUAUUCCUUAUUUUAUUUUAUAUUUCAAACUCUAACCACAUGUCCCUCUUUGUAGUCAUUUUAAUUCAUUAAUUAAAGCAGAAAGAAUAGA
rnacentral:lncRNA from 1 species